UACGUAGGGUGCAAGCGUUAAUCGGAAUUACUGGGCGUAAAGCGUGCGCAGGCGGUUUUGUAAGUCUGAUGUGAAAUCUCACAGCUUAACUGUGAAACUGCAUUGGAUACUAUCCGGCUCGAGGAAUGGAGGGGAGACUGGAAUACUUGGUGUAGCAGUGAAAUGCGUAGAUAUCAAGUGGAACACCAGUGGCGAAGGCGAGUCUCUGGACAUUUCCUGACGCUGAGGCACGAAAGCCAGGGGAGCAAACGGG
rnacentral:rRNA from 1 species